UCCACUCAGAAGAGACUGCCUGCAAGGGUAAGUGCUCCCAUCGUCUGCAAGCAGGCUCCAGCGGCCAAGCCAUUCUACAGGCACAGGAAUGAAAGGGAGGCAGGAAAAAACACCCGCGGCAGCAGUUUAAGGCUCUUUCCUGUCUGGACUUCAUGCAUACUGGGAGGUACAGGUAUGUAAAAAGCUGAUGAUAAAUGUCAUGACUCCAGGAAGUGGCGCUUUAAAGACAUUAGUCAUUUUGGAUAAAGUAGCCAAAGGAGGUAUUUCCAGCAUCUAAAGUAGAAGAGGUAAGGAGUUGAAAUGGCAGAGCUCAAAUUAGGGUCAAGUUGCUGGGUAACAUUGUCCAGGCUGUCCGCACAGAGCUCUCCCACUUUUGAGGGAGGUGUUUCUGGUGCUAGGUAAGAGGGAGAAAAGCCUGGGGUUGUUCUUCAACUGAAUUUCCCAAAAAAGGAGACACACAGGGGCGCCAAAGUCUUAGAAAAAGAAGCUUAAGCCGUUUUUCUACAUCGCUUCUCAGCCAGUGCAGUUGGAGGGCUUCGCUCCCGCUUCGGAGCGGGCAGCUUUAAGGGAGUAGCUCAUCAGCUCAAGACUGAUUUAAUUUGCAAACGCACUGGGGCUUCGCAAUCGCUUAAGCUUGCCUGGUGUAAACAGGCUGGGUGGCUGCUGGCUGCUAAUAACUCUGUGCCUCUCAUAAGGGGAGUCCUAAAGAGAGAUGAGGUGUGCCCGGGUGUGGGGGUCUGAUUCCUGUGGGGGGCUGGUGCAUGGCUUUGUCCUUGCACGGCACUUGCAAGCGUGGCCACAAACUUGUUCUGGAGAAAUUUCCCAGAUGCCUUUGGAAGAAUGCCAUUAUAUCAGUCUGGUAAUACCACCCUUUGGAAAAUAAAAAGUUUGUUUGUCCUGUAUCCAAGCUAUUAAACUGUUUGCAUUCCUGGGAGUAAAGAUGAUGGUCUGAACCUCUGUCUCAUCAGUUUGUCCUUGUGAGCUGGAUCUGGCAUGGUUAUGUCAGCAGAUGCUGGAAUGGACACCAAGAUGAAGAUCCCCAGGACAGCUGUAAUGGAGGUGCAUGACAGCCAUAACCUCCAACCGCACCCUCGUUUCCUUUUGACAUAGGGAGGAGGCUGGGUGCAAGGGCGAUUACAUCGGCUCUUGACUGUGAUUAGAUUAUACUUAUAGCGGGCUGGUAUUCCUUCGCCGGCUCUAUGGAACGAUAAUACCAGAUUAUCCAGUGCACAGCCUGCUCUUUAACUCACCUCCAGAGGUUUUACUCCACAGUUGUCAAGCAGGAGGCAGGCAGGACAUUUUGGUAUAAAAUACUACAUAAACACAACUGAGCCAAGCGAACUAAACCCUUAAUAUAAGCUGCCAUGGGAAAAAAAAAAAAAAAAAGAAGCCAUGUUGUUCACUGUUUUGUUUUGCUCUCCACUGAGUGAUAUAUAUCCUAGUGACAAGUUGUUCCAGCCGUAUAGCAUUGCUUUUAAUACCAUAAAGUGUUGUGGGGUGUAGACGUGUGCUAGGACAGUGGCUAGAGCUAAUGUUAAAGGCUAAAUGUAUUGCAGCUGCAUACAAACUGGGCUAGAUUAAAGAGCACAGCUUUGGAAGUUUCUUGUUAAAAAAAAAAAAUUACUUAAAAGAUUUUUUUGGUGCAGAUUAAUUUUGGUUUGGACGUCAGAGCCUCCAACAGCCAUUUUCCAGUAAUAUGUCUUUUUGUAAUUAUUUGACACUUUAAAAUAUAUGCCUUGCAGACAGCAGUUCCAAUGUUAGCACAGAAAUAUUAAAGUAGAUUUUAUUUAAACUCUGCUGUGGGUAAUGCCAGGCUUUGUUUUUAAAGUAUGACUUAUUAGGGUGUUUUAUUCAAUGCACUAAAGAAUGAAAUUCCACUUCCAUUAUAUCAUAUUAUGCCAGGAUGGACACAACACCAAAAUAUCAUUGGAGAAGCUGAGAGUUUCAAAUGUAAGUGCUCAAGUUUAGCUAUCAAAGAGCACAGCUAGGUAUCUGGCUGGAAAUUACCUGUUUAAUGGAGAUCCCGACUCCUGCUCCUCCUCUUAAUAUCUCUUCUCUGACUAUGGAACAGUGUUGCUAUCAGCAGUAGAAGUGGAUACUAUUCUGGUGGUUAGUUUAGUCCCAAUUCUUAGUCUCCUUUCCUUUCCUUGAGCUUCAGCAAACCAGCUGCAAGACCAUGGGGAAAUUCCUUAUCUUCCCCUUGCAUCAGUUUACUUAUCAGUAAAGUAGAUAAACUAAUAACACUGCACUUCUUGAGGGUUUGUUGAAGCUUAUUAUGCAGUAGCAAGUGCUUUGAGAGGGAAAUCAUUAUAAAAACGACAGUGUAAUAUGACAUGCAGGUAAUAUGAAGGAGCCCCAUUCUGCUUCGUGCAAGCCAGCGGAGCUCUGUUAUUUGCUUUAGCAGAAGCAGGGAUUUGGCCUAUGCUUAAAUGACUUGCAAUUGUUUUUCUUCUUGAAUGCUAAUAUAGAGUUAAGAGAUAGCACUACAGGGAAAGUUCAUUCCUGCCUAUGUGUAAAUAUUUAGCAGCUGAAUAGGCGUUAUUUAGCAGGGCACAGUUUCUGCUUCUCCACACUUUUUAAGGAUGUCAUUCCAAGCUGCUACAGAUCAGAAGAUACACUGAAAUUACCAGAUCAAAAUCUUUCCCAUAUAAGUGUAUACAUACAGAAUUUAUUUUACUGGGCAAUUAAAUGUGUAAGAUAAAUAUCCCUGGGGGAGGAGGGUUGUUUGAGGUUUUAUGGCAUAUCUUAUUAUGGGCUCAGUUUCGAAAUCUUAAUCCAAGCAAAACUCCCGAUGUAGAGACUUAACGCUGGAGUGUAACUUGUGUUUCGUAGCCAGGAUAUCUGCAGUUGGGUGGAUGUGUGCAGUUGCAUCAGUGGAUUUUAGGGCAGGGGGGUAGCGAAGGCAGUGAAGCUUUGCCUAGAGAAAAGCAGCCCUUCCUAGAACACUUAUAAUUAGCAAUAAGGCUUUGAUCAAGCAGGACACAUUGAAGGACCUUAGGCAGUAUAGUGUUUUCUGAAUUUCAUGUGACAAUAUUAUUGAUGAAAACUGAAAAAAAAUGUAAAAUAAAACAUAUUUGUAAUUAUUUUGGGGUGGUGUGAUCAGUAAAACUGCAAUGAGCUAUGAGAUUGUUGGCAAAAUAGUUGCCUGUGUUUCAAAUGCAAAAGUUUUUUGGAGGACACAUGAGCAGUCCGAAUUGCCCAGAAUAUACUCCAAUUUUAUGUCCGAGCUGCAAAUGCAACUAUUUUCUUAAAACUGGGUGGGUUUUGUCUGUUUAGAAAAUGAAACGUAUAAUAGAAAAAAGCAACCAGGAUGGAGUGACCAAACAAACAGAUCUUGACAUGCUUACA